AAUGAACGUUGGCGGCGUGGAUUAGGCAUGCAAGUCGAGCGAGAAUUUGCGAUUGGAAGCUUCGGCCGAAGAAAGUGAAGGAAAGCGGCAAACGGCGUAGUAAGGCGUAGGUACGUACCCUCGGGUUCGGGAAUAGCCAUGGGAAACUGUGGGUAAUGCCCGAUAAUCUCUGCGGAGCAAAGGUGUGAUUCCGCCGGAGGAGCGGCUUACGUGAUAUUAGCUAGUUGGUGGGGUAAUGGCCUACCAAGGCAACGAUGUCUAGGGGGUGUGAGAGCAUGGCCCCCACGACCGGAACUGAGACACUGUCCGGACACCUACGGGUGGCUGCAGUCGAGAAUCUUCCGCAAUGGGCGAAAGCCUGACGGAGCGACGCCGCGUGGUGGAUGAAGGCCCUUGGGUUGUAAACACCUGUCAGAGGGGAUGAAAUCAUGGUUGGCAAUCCUUCCAUGUUGACAGAGCCUCAGAGGAAGCACGGGCUAAGUACGUGCCAGCAGCCG
rnacentral:rRNA from 1 species